rnacentral:rRNA from 1 species
AACGAACGCUGGCGGCAGGCCUAACACAUGCAAGUCGAGCGAAGCCUUCGGGCUUAGCGGCGGACGGGUGAGUAACGCGUGGGAGCGUGCCCUUUGGUACGGAAUAGCCCCGGGAAACUGGGAGUGAUACCGUAUGUGGUCGAGAGACGAAAGAUUUAUCGCCAAAGGAUCGGCCCGCGUUGGAUUAGGUAGUUGGUGGGGUACUGGCCUACCAAGCCGACGAUCCAUAGCUGGUUUGAGAGGAUGAUCAGCCACACUGGGACUGAGACACGGCCCAGACUCCUACGGGAGGCAGCAGUGGGGAAUCUUAGGCAAUGGGGGAAACCCAGAUCUAGCCAUGCCGCGUGAUCGAUGAAGGCCUUAGGGUUGUAAAGAUCUUUCAGUGGGGAAGAUAAUGACUGUACCCACAGAAGAAGCCCCGGCUAACUCCGUGCCAGCCGCCGCAGUAAAAC